UCGAGGGGACGAGUAACGCAUCUUCCUCACAGUGCUUCUCAGGGGUCAGCCCGCUCCUCACUCGACGGUGAUCAAUACUCGACGCGGCUCGGACCACCUCCUGUGCCCCUGGACUCCGCCCUAAGGGUCCUCUGGCGUCUGUGACGGCGCGGGUCCCGGCCUCUUCAGUCGGCUCAGGCCAGCCCUUCAGGGGUCCCUCCAGUCCCCUCCCCCCCGGCACUUUCUCUAACCGAGGAAGGAGCGGAGAGGAACGUGGCUGAAUCAAGGGACCUGCGAGCCUAUGGAUGAGUUCUAAACCCGAGAGCCAAUUAAAUAUUAUUGGAACCUACUGUAAGGUUAGGGAAGGGGAGGUUAGGAGGCGGAGAGGCUAAGUCCCACGGCGGCGGGUCCAGCCCCGGAACCCAGCACAGCCCUCCCUCGGCCCUUCCCCGCCGUCAGGACGAGGGGCGCUGCCAUCCCAGCCGGGACCCUGCGCCUCCCCGCCCCCGAUUCCCCUCAGGACGCGCAAGUCGGCCCCUCCCCACCCACGCCGGCCGAGCAAGCCGAGCGGAGGGCAGGGGCGAGACGAAGGGCCAAAGUUCCCCGGACUAAGACGCCGCGCGCAGGUCUUCCUACACAUCAGCUGCGGCUCUGGGAGAACGCCUGCGCCUCAAAGGAAACGUCUUGGAUGGAUGCCCAACUGCUACCAAAACCGGUGAGGGUAUCGCUCACCUCUGCAUCCUCGGUGUCUACAAGAGCGCCUGGCAUAUGGUAGAAGUCUGGCGGGCCUCUCACUGUUGUGGCCUCUCCCGUUGCAGAGCACAGGCUCCGGACGCGCAGGCUCAGCGGCCAUGGCUCACGGGCCCAGCCGCUCCGCGGCAUGUGGGAUCCUCCCGGACUGGGGCACGAACCCGCACCCCCUGCAUCGGCAGGCGGACUCUCAAUCACUGCGCCACCAGGGAAGCCCCCCUUCCUGUAUUUUUAUUAGCCACAUUGAAAGGAAAAUGAUCAGAUGAUUGUAUAGAAUUUUAAAGCGAACAACGUGCCUUUAAAAUUGCUUAAUAAACAAGUGGUUUAAAUAUCA